ensembl:lncRNA
GUGGCUCAAUCACCUGUGGAGGCGUGGAGGGCGACGCAGGGGGCGUUCGCAAUGCAUGUGCCAGGUGGUCUUCUCACCUGAGCAUGGAAGAGCCGCUCAAAAUCUUCUCUGAAACCAUGACCCUGUACAAGGAGCUGACUAAGAAAGAUCACAGGGUCAUCACCACGGUGGUCACUGAGGGGAAGGUGUUCUACGACGCGGAGGACUAUCCCCAGCAGUACCUGAAGACGGUCGCUAGGGGGUACUGUGGUCUCAUUGGGACCGGGAACAUGCCUACUCGGACUGGAUAAGGAGGAGUUGUGAGGGCAUCGGCCGUGAGGACCGAGAGAGAGGGUGCAAUAGAGAGAGAGAGAUGGUAAUUAACAUAUCUGCAUUGCAAUCCAAAAAGGCUAUAAUGUAUUAAGUAACGUUUCAUUCAAAUUGUAAUUGUGCUUGGGCUCCACUAGGGGGCAAUGUAACCUAAAUGACG